rnacentral:rRNA from 1 species
AUGAUCGGCUCGGAGUGCAUGCAGGCGUUGCAUUUCGUCAGCAAUGCUGAUUACAUAUUAGUUAAUGGCUCUAUAAGGAUGCGUGAUUCCCUCGCGCACAUACGUGUUUACUCUAUGAGGUGUGUGACAGAGAAAUCUAUUUAUGGUUUUCCGUCAGUACUUGGUGAUUUUUAUUUUUUAUUUCUUUGCGAUGAGUACUUGGUGAUUUUACAGUAUUGUUACAAAGUACAACGACAUCACCCAGCACUACCUCACCUCCACUGCAUAUAUGUUUACUUGGAUCUUCAGAAAAGGGCAAGACCACCCACCCCCACCCCCAGUUUUUUGGUGCGUUUUUUGUAA